CCUACGGGAGGCUGCAGUGGGGAAUAUUGGACAAUGGGGGCAACCCUGAUCCAGCCAUGCCGCGUGUGUGAAGAAGGCCCUCGGGUUGUAAAGCACUUUCAAUGAGGAAGAACGCCUGGUGGUUAAUACCCAUCAGGAAAGACAUCACUCACAGAAGAAGCACCGGCUAACUCCGUGCCAGCAGCCGCGGUAAUACGGAGGGUGCGAGCGUUAAUCGGAAUUACUGGGCGUAAAGCGCGCGUAGGUGGCUUGAUAAGCCGGUUGUGAAAGCCCCGGGCUCAACCUGGGAACGGCAUCCGGAACUGUCAAGCUAGAGUGCAGGAGAGGAAGGUAGAAUUCCCGGUGUAGCGGUGAAAUGCGUAGAGAUCGGGAGGAAUACCAGUGGCGAAGGCGGCCUUCUGGACUGACACUGACACUGAGGUGCGAAAGCGUGGGUAGCAAACAGGAUUAGAUACCCCUGUAGUC
rnacentral:rRNA from 1 species